CACGCAAAUUCUUAAAGCUGUUACCUAACUAAAUAAAUAAUAUCUCCUAUUUUCUAUAUUUUUAUAUACAAUUAAUAUUAGUUUGUUCAAAAUAUUCUAUUUCCUAUUUACGCUUUGAUUCUAUAAACCAAUUCGCAAGGAAUAUCCAUAAUGUAUACUAAUCUACAAAAAUUGAAACGUAUCCUACAAUUUUCAUUAACCUACCUAUCCUUACUUAUAUAUAUAAGAGGCGACUGUAUUGAUCUAGCACGAAACGCUGAGAGGCUAAUAUAUUCCUCUGUCACACCCUUCCUCCGGAGUUUUUCCACCAAUGAUCAUAAGAUUUCACCGGCGGAGCCGUUAGUCUUGACAUAUGCGAUCCCAAGAUCAGGGUGAGUGCUCUUCAGGAGCACCCUUAUGAAAGAGUCUAUUGCUGAAGUUAAAAUACAACCUCGAAUCUUAUAUAUAUGCUACCCAAAAGAAGGUGCAAGAUUGGCUUUACACGGACGGUGAGGAUGCUAAUGCCACAGAGUUUCAGGAGCGGCUUGACUUACUAAAAGUCACUGGCAGUCCCAUAUAUUUGCGAUCGGAUGAGCUUACAGCACGACCUGUAGCAGUUGAAUAUGUCAUAAAUACCUGACCGGAGAGAGGAGAAUGCAGAUCAUAAAAGAGUGGGAGACUACUAAACUUCGCUUUCAAACCAAAAAAAUCAACAAGGUUGUUUUGCUCAUGUCUCAAAGAAUAAAGCUGAACAGAAAAAAAUGAAUGUUGCUUCAUUACCUUUUUUAUGUCUUUAAAAUUAGAAAGAGUUAAUAUGACAAAUCUUUGUAACAGGACUGCUACUUGGAGUAGUGUUCGUCAGAUGAAGGUGAAGGUAAAUAGGAUUCCAAAGCCAAAGAUAGAGAAAGCAAGCCAGAAGGAGAAUGCAAUGGAGAAGGUUAAUUCAAAAGGCUCAGAAGAUAAUACCAAAACGGGUUGAUAAUAAUGAAGAUUUUAAAGGUAUAAU